CCUCACCGCGUGCACUGGUCCGGCCGGGCCUUUCCUCCCGGGGAGCCGCAUGCCCUUCGCUGGGUGUGCCGGGGAUCCGGGACUUUUACUUUGAAAAAAUUAGAGUGUUCAAAGCAGGCCUUUGCUCGGAUACAUUAGCAUGGAAUAAUGGAAUAGGACGUGCGGUUCUAUUUUGUUGGUUUCUAGGACCGCCGUAAUGAUUAAUAGGGACAGUCGGGGGCGUCAGUAUUCAAUUGUCAGAGGUGAAAUUCUUGGAUUUAUUGAAGACUAGCUACUGCGAAAGCAUUCGCCAAGGAUGUUUUCAUUAAUCAGUGAACGAAAGCUGGGGGAUCGAAGACGAUCAGAUACCGUCGUAGUCUCAGCCGUAAACUAUGCCGACUAGGGAUCGGGCGGUGUUACUUGUUGACCCGCUCGGCACCUUACGAGAAAUCAAAGUUUUUGGGUUCUGGGGGGAGUAUGGUCGCAAGGCUGAAACUUAAAGAAAUUGACGGAAGGGCACCACCAGGCGUGAACGCAGACACUCCGCGCCGCACAGCAGCCCGCGAGGGUGAGGUGGUGCCCUGCCUGCCGCGAGCAGGCGCCAAGUGCUAGUCCGCCCCCGCCUGCCGGGGGGGGCGGGCAACGUGCCCAAACUGCGGGGGACUCCCGCGAGGUCCCGGGCCACCAAGCCGCGCGCCGAAAGGCCGCGGUGGCCGGGUUAACGACCCGGGUAAGGUGACAGCGCCCGGGGCUCGGGUGAUCCGCAGCCCUGCCCCUAAGGCGCGCCUCUGCCGGCCCGAGUGCCGGGUCGGCGGGCGCGCUACGGGGAGGGUUCAGAGACUAGAUGGGUGCGGGUGGGCGCCUUUGCCGGCGCCCGCUCAAGAUAUAGUCCGGCCGCCCGCGAAGAGCGGGCGGGCUUAGGCGGGAGCCUGCGGCUUAAUUUGACUCAACACGGGGAAACUUACCAGGUCCAGACACAAGAAGGAUUGACAGAUUGAGAGCUCUUUCUUGAUUUUGUGGGUGGUGGUGCAUGGCCGUUCUUAGUUGGUGGAGUGAUUUGUCUGCUUAAUUGCGAUAACGAACGAGACCUUAACCUGCUAAAUAGCCAGGCUGGCUCCGGCCGGUCGCCGGCUUCUUAGAGGGACUAUCGGCUCAAGCCGAUGGAAGUUUGAGGCAAUAACAGGUCUGUGAUGCCCUUAGAUGUUCUGGGCCGCACGCGCGCUACACUGACGGGGCCAACGAGUUCGCUCCUUGGCCGAGAGGCCUGGGUAAUCUUGUUAAACCCCGUCGUGCUGGGGAUAGAGCAUUGCAAUUAUUGCUCUUCAACGAGGAAUGCCUAGUAAGCGCGUGUCAUCAGCACGCGUUGAUUACGUCCCUGCCCUUUGUACACACCGCCCGUCGCUACUACCGAUUGAAUGGCUCAGUGAGGCCUUCGGACCGGCCCAGGGAGGUUGGCAACGACCACCCAGGGCUGGAAAGUUGGUCAAACUUGGUCAUUU
rnacentral:rRNA from 1 species